rnacentral:pre_miRNA from 1 species
CGUGCAUCGGUGGGGUCCCUUGGCCUGGCCUGUGCCCUCUCGCAAUCCAGGACCCCUCGGGAAAUGAUCUCUGCAGGCCAGGCCGAGGGACCCCACUGGUGCACA